UACGAAGGGGGCUAGCGUUGCUCGGAAUUACUGGGCGUAAAGGGCGCGUAGGCGGAUAGUUUAGUCAGAGGUGAAAGCCCAGGGCUCAACCUUGGAAUUGCCUUUGAUACUGGCUAUCUUGAGUUCGGGAGAGGUGAGUGGAAUGCCGAGUGUAGAGGUGAAAUUCGUAGAUAUUCGGCGGAACACCAGUGGCGAAGGCGACUCACUGGCCCGAUACUGACGCUGAGGUGCGAAAGCGUGGGGAGCGAACAGG
rnacentral:rRNA from 1 species